UACGUAGGUGGCGAGCGUUGUCCGGAAUUCACUGGGUGUAAAGGCGCGAGUGUAGGCGGGGAGGGCCUAAAGUCUGGUGGUAGAAAUCGCUCGGACUUAACUGGGCGGGGUCCUAUGAAACUGGUCACCUGGAGGUCGGUGAGAGGCAAGUGGAAGUUCCCGGUGUAGUGGUGAAAUGACGUAGAGAUCGGAGGAACACCAGUGGCGAAGGCGGCUUGCUGGCCGACCUGACGCUGAGACGACGAAGGCGGUGGGGAGCGAACGGG
rnacentral:rRNA from 1 species